UACGUAGGGUGCAAGCGUUAAUCGGAAUUACUGGGCGUAAAGGGUGCGUAGGCGGCGGGGCAAGUCUGAUGUGAAAGUCCCGGGGCACAACCUCGGAACUGCACUGGAUACUGCCCUGCUUGAGCACUGGAGAGGAUGACUGGAAUUACGGUGUAGCAGUGAAAUGCGUAGAGAUCGUAAGGAAGACCAGUGGCGAAGGCGGGUCGCUGGACAGUUCCUGACGCUGAGGCACAAAGGUCAGGGGAGCAAACGGG
rnacentral:rRNA from 1 species